CGCGCCCCUCUCGGCCGCCGCCAUCUUGGUGCCUUCCUCGGCCGCCGCCUCCAUCCGCAGCCAUCCGCCUCCAUCCGCCGCCCCCCGCCCGCCGGGACUGAGCGGGGCCCCGUAGAACCGCCAUGAGGGCCAAGUGGCGCAAGAAGCGCAUGCGCAGGCUGAAGCGCAAGAGGAGGAAGAUGAGGCAGAGGUCCAAGUAACGGCUCCCAGCGCGGGGAUGCGCCCCGGUGCCCCCUCCCGGUGCCGGCCCGGUGCUGUCCCGGUGCCGCGGGGGGGCCCCGCCGGGCCGGGCCCGUUCUUCGCUUUGCGGCGGCCGCCGUGCCGUGAAUAAAAGUUGUUGUUGCUUA